rnacentral:lncRNA from 1 species
AACAUAUUUGCAUAUUUAUCAUUGUGGGUUUGUGUUCUGAAUGCCGCUGAUUUCCAACACACACACACACAGAUGAAAUAAGGCCAACCCAAUACAACACAAUAACUCCUCUCUCCUCCGUGUCAGUGACUCCUCUCUCCUCCGUGUGUGUGUGUGUGUGUGUGUGUGUGUGUGUGUGUGUGUGUGUGUGUGUGUGUUUAUGUGUGUGUGUGUGUGUGUGUGUGUGUGUGUGUCCUCUCUCCUCCGUGUCAGUGACUCCACGGCCAGGCUCCUGCAGGAGAACCAGAGUAGGCUGGCCCGGUUCAGCAGCCUGCUGCAGGAGGCAGAGGACCACCAGGCCCACAGCAUUGUGGAGGACGACUGGAGUUGGAUCCAGCAUGACCCCCUAUGCAAGAAGAAGCAGCAGACACUACAGAAUGUGUAGCUGCCUGCCAUCUCACCCUAUGGUGAUGAACCUGCUCUGUGAACAUCUAGCAUCUAAUACACUACUAAGAAUGGACUUAUUCACAUUUCCGGAAAGUACUGUUUAUAGUUAUCUGUCUGUCGGACAUCACAUAGGCCGUAGAGACCACUUAGUGUGUUGUUAUUUUGUUUUCAACAAAGAAAAUGUUUACACUCUGUUUACAGUAGGAUAUAGUUAGCAUAUAGUUUGAGUAGUUGAGAUUAGGGGCGGUUAUAUAGUUGGGGGUUAGUUUCCGAAUAAUUAACUUAUAGUGGAGGGUUGGACUUAGUUGAUAAUUAUGUUAAAAGUUUAUUGGCCAUGUUUGUCAACAAACUAUCACAUGGCUAUCACAUAACACACAAUUAAAAUAAGGUGUGAUAUGUUUUUCUUAUUUAACAUUCUAUUAUUAGUAUUCUAUGUGUAAUAUGGUGGAAAAAAUCAUUUGCAUGGAAUUUUUCAUUGUGGAAAUGAUUUCUUUGUAACUCUUAAGAGUGUCGUUGUGCAAUCCAGUGGAUACACUGUAUCAAUCAGUCCCUCUGCUUUUUCGCGAUUCUGUGAGUUGCAUCCAACUGUUUAUUCAGCCGUUCGUUCUUCUUACGCGGAGAUGGCAUUUCAGAGCAAAAACUCGUUUCUAAAUUCAUGCAGUGGGUAAUUUUGAGUGAGUUGAAUAUUGGCGAAGUAAGGGCAGGAUUGGUCAAUAAAUGUGGAGUAAUCAUGGUCUCUGUUCA